rnacentral:rRNA from 1 species
UGGGGAAUAUUGGACAAUGGGCGAAAGCCUGAUCCAGCCAUGCCGCGUGAGUGAUGAAGGCCUUAGGGUUGUAAAGCUCUUUCAGUGGGGACGAUAAUGACGGUACCCACAGAAGAAGCCCCGGCUAACUUCGUG